GGUAAAAUGGCUGAAUUUUAGGCGAUAAACUGUAAAUUUAUUUAUGAGUUAAUUCUUUUACUA
rnacentral:tRNA from 1 species